GGGGCAACCCACUCACCGGCGAACGGGUGCGUAACACGUGAGCGACUGGUCCUACAGGUGGGGGAUAGCCGGCCCAACGGCCGGGUAAUACCGCAUACGUUCCCUUGGGGGCAUCCCUGGGGGAGGAAAGCCUAUAUGGCGCCUGAGGAGGGGCUCGCGGCCUAUCAGCUAGUUGGCGAGGUAACGGCUCACCAAGGCACCGACGGGUAGCUGGUCUGAGAGGAUGGCCAGCCACAUUGGGACUGAGAAACGGCCCAGACUCCUACGGGAGGCAGCAGUGGGGAAUCUUGCGCAAUGGCCGAAAGGCUGACGCAGCGACGCCGCGUGUGGGAGGAAGCCCUUCGGGGUGUAAACCACUGUUGCCCGGGACGAACGGCGGGGAAUGCCCCGCGUGACGGUACCGGGUGAGGAAGCACCGGCUAACUCCGUGCCAGCAGCCGCGGUAAUACGGAGGGUGCGAGCGUUGUCCGGAAUCACUGGGCGUAAAGGGCGCGUAGGCGGCUUCUCAAGCGUGUGGUGAAAGUCCGGGGCUCAACCCCGGAUCGGCCGUGCGGACUGGGGAGCUCGAGUUCUGUAGAGGCGGGUGGAAUUCCGGGUGUAGCGGUGGAAUGCGUAGAGAUCCGGAAGAACACCGGUGGCGAAGGCGGCCCGCUGGGCAGAGACUGACGCUGAUGCGCGACAGCGUGGGGAGCAAACAGGAUUAGAUACCCUGGUAGUCCACGCCGUAAACGAUGGGCACUAGGUGCUUGGGGGAGCGACCCUCUGAGUGCCGGCGCUAACGCAUUAAGUGCCCCGCCUGGGGAGUAC
rnacentral:rRNA from 1 species